rnacentral:lncRNA from 1 species
UGGAAACUUGCAGGGGAGGCAACUGGAAACGGCUGGCUUAGGUGACAUGUGUGAUGAGAAGAAAGCAUUUCCUUACAGCAGCUCCUGAUAAGGACACACUUUCAGCUGUUGUCUGCUCACUGCUCCUUCAAAGGAAAGCUCUAGUUUUGGCAGUCGGCUUCCUUUCUCAACAUUCUCUUCCUGGCUCCAUUUUAAAGCCCUUAAACAUAAGUGACUCCGUUUUGUUUCACAUUUCACAGCCUUUCAAUCUCAAUCUGAAUCAAAUGCUACUCUAUUGUAUCUUUGAAAGUUGCUACGAGUAAAUCUUAAAAGUUCUCAUCAGGAGAAAAAAAUUGUAACUAUGUGCGGUGAUGGAUGUUAGCUAGACUUAGUGUGGUGAGCAUUUUGCAAUACACACAUACAUAGAAUCAUUAUGUUGUACAUCUGAAACUAAUAUAUGCUAUAUGUCGAUUAUAUCUCAAUUUUUAAAAUCAGUAAAUAAAUAAAAGAAAAAUAAUUAAAAAAAAUAAGCAUGGAUUAUUCACAUUUGCCAAAGUAAUUGCUCAUUUCAAAUGUUAUCACCUUAGGGUAUCUUUAAAACUUAUUGAACACGUUUUCCAUAAUUGUCAGUUGACCAGCUCCCUGACUGAGAGUCAUGUUCAUUGUCAGAUGAUUAUAACCAUUCUUUUCUUCUAACAGUCACACGGAUAAAAGUUAACAUUCUAGGAUAAAAAUUAAAUUUAUGUAUAUUUAUAGGUUUUUUUCUCAGUCCAAAUUUGGCAUCACAUUUUGGUUUGGAGAGAAGAUUGAGUCAUAACUUUAAAUUUGCAAGAACUUCAUGGAGUGUGAAGAGAAGCUCCUGUCCUAAAUUACAGAGUUUAGAUCAUUGGAGUUGCUUCUUCGUGAGAGAAAAAACAAAUGCUUGAGGGGAAGAGCCUGGGAGCAUUCCAGAAAACGCUCGUAAAUUCAUCAUCACAUGUUCUCCAUUCUUUCAUCUGGACCCACAACAUCUGUUGGUUGGCGGUUCCUAUGGGUACCAGAGAGCAUGUAAGCAAACCUUAGGUUUUAUAGUAUUUUCCUCCCCUUCAGUAACUGAACUUAUCUAAUUCGUGUCAAGUGCCAUUUGAGAGUCUGCAGGGAGAGGCAGAGAAUGUGAGCAAAGAUCUAUCAGACCCUGGAGGCUUCCUAAAAGUAAAAGGUUGGUUAGGAUGACCAACUGCCGCUAAACUGCUCUUGCUGUGUCAAUUCACUUUCCCUUGGUUUGCAAAGUGGCCUCG